ensembl:lncRNA
CGGGAUCCUGUCAGCGAGGGGCCGUGCCCGCGCUGGAGCCUGCCGGCGGCUGGUGACAUUCUUUUCGAAAUGCUGCGCUUAAGUUUGGCUUCUUAAUGUCAUAAUAGCAACAGCUCGACAUCUCGCGCUGCUCCUGAAGCGCAGGGUUGGUCUGUGCGCUGGUCCUGCUGUCACCUCCAUGGAGAAGCCCAAAGGCAGAAUGAGAGACAAGCGACAGGCCUCAACCAGUCUGGGAAAAUAAUAUCCCAUUAAAAUGGGAAAAAAAGGGUGAGGAGGGGCUGCAUCUAUACCCAAAAAGCUCAAAGCUUGGCAGCCUAGCAGCGGAUAUUGGACAGAAUGCCACCUUUCUCCUCCUCCCCAGUGCCAUGUGCAGGCCUGCAGCUGGGUGUCCAUAAGCAGCACCGUACCUCAUCCAAAGGCCCCCAAAAAACCUUCAGAGAAUGAUGACUACACCGGUUCUGUUAAUGCGGUUGCCUGGUCGGACUCGGCUUUUGUUCCUGAGGUGGAACCCAGAGAUGUGAGUGGAGGUGAAUGGGAUGCAGAAUCCCAGCCGGCUCCCAGGAUGGAAGCUAUAGCAGAUGGCAUGGAAGUGCCUCCAGAGAGGGCCGUGCAAAACUCACAGCUGCGUCCCACGCCGGAGCCCCGCUGGUAUCCCAGGGGUCCUGCGAGACAGAGAGGGAAACUGGGACGAGAAAGAGAUUCGCUGCGGUUUUAUCAUGCUCUCAAGGCAGUGACGGAGGACAACGAAGUGCCUGGUGGGUAUAUUACUGUCUGUGCACCAGAAGACUUGGGAAACUGACGUUCCGUGUAGAGAUGCAGAAAAUUCUGAUGUCUUUGGAGAAGUAAAGCCUCUUGAGGAUGUCAUCCUCGUGGCAAGAGCAGAUCUUUACAGUCCCACUCUGCUACCUUCUUUCUCAAGAGUUCAAUGGAGAGCCUGUGGACGGGGCUGUGUUUGAGGAGGGCAGCAGCCACACACUGCCCAUCUCCCGUGAAGGCACAGAGGACGUGCAAGUAGCUGGCGCUUCAGGUAAAGGCCGUGCACAGAGCUCUAUGCCUGACGGUUACAGGUUCUGUUGCUGUGUUUCAUUUUCGUGGCCUCCUGGAACAUUUCAUGGCAACGUCAGAGCUCUGGUGAGAUGGUCAGCUAGGCACAAGGCACAGCAGUGACCACCAUUGUUCCUUUAGGUGCACACAGUGAACAAGCUGGGAAUGGGGUCCACGUGAACGACCUCCCCAUGUUCUGCUUGAAAGGUGCUAUUGCCGUGUUUGUUCCUAUUCUGCUGAUAAUAAUUGUGUGCUGCAUUUACAUCCGGCGGCGGAGGAAGAAACACCAGUGAGUUGCUCCCCCAUCCCACCACGCUCUUUAUUCCAGCGCUGCUCUGCGUGGUGCCGGGAGGAAGGAGAGCGGGGGGCUCUCCCAGUCCCUCAGCACUUCCUGUCUCUGCAGGCGCCUCACUGAAGCUGCCAAAGCCCGGUGUGCUGCCUACGAAGACUCAGAGUAUGCGGACAGACAGACUUGGCACCAGCGGCCUCCACGUGUGUCAGGACGUUCUGCCCGGGGGCUGCAGAGCCCCAACACAUCGCCGCCCCCCAGGCCCAAGAGUGCCCCGUCUCGGCUGCCCCCGCCGCGGCCCCCAAGGCCCAGAAGCCCCCAGCCCCGCUGGGCACCACCACCGCCACCGCCACCGCCCCCAUCCUUCAGGGGAUGGUAGCAGUUUCCCUGGGGUCAGGGAACCACGUCCCACUCCUGCACAACCGCUGGUUCCAUCAGCUGUGGCUGUCCAGGUUUGUGCUGCAGCAAUAAAGAACAUUAAGAAAGAACUGUGUUGGCUGUGUCCCAUUGGGGUGCGCUGUCCCAGAACACAUCCAAGAGUCGCCUGUUUAGAGAGGAGACCUUGCUUUGUCUGCGCUGCGCAGGACACAGGGUGGGAAAUCCCUCCAACGAGCGCGUCGUGUCCUCAGCUUGGCUUCUGUUCAGAGUGAGAAGUUUCCACGCUACACCUGCCUCGUGCGUAAGUCACGGUGACCUCGUGUGUAUUUGGGGUGAUGGAGCAGAUCUUCCUGGAAGAGAUGUGGAGGCAGCUGAGGGAUGGAGAAGCGAUCCUGGACAGCCAGCAGGGCGGCACCGAGGGCAGAUCGUGCCUGAGCCACGCGGUGGCUUUUUGUGAUGCAGAGAUGGCACUGAUGGACUCCAGGGGGGCAACUGAUGUCAUCUGCCUGGACUUGAGCAAGGCCUUCGAUGUGGUCCCGCACCACUUCCUUCCCUCUGACUCAGAGGGAGGUGGGUUCAAAGGAUGGGCUGUGGGGUGGGCGUUCAACAAAGCCGAGGGGGUGCGUUCAGAGGGGGAGUUGAUCUGGAUAGGUUGGACAGCCGGGCUGAAGCCAAUGGGAUGGGAUUCAACAAGACCAACUGCCGGGUCCUGCACUUUGGCCGCAAUAACCCCAGGCAACGCUACAGGCUUGGGGCAGAGUGGCUGGAAGACUGUGUAGAGGAAAUGGGCCUGGGGGUGUUGACUGACGCCAGACUGAACAUGAGCCAGCAGUGUGCCCAGGUGGCCAAGAAGGCCAACGGCAUCCUGGCUUGUAUCAGAAACAGUGUGGCCAGCAGGAACAGGGAGGUAAUUGUCCCCCUGUACUCAGCAGUGGUGAGGCCGCACCUCGAGUGCUGUGUCCACUUUUGGGCCCCUCACUGUAAAAAAGAUAUGGAGGCCCUGCAGCGUGUCCAGAGGAGGGCAACACAGCUGGUGAGGGCUCUGGAGCACAGACCUUAUGAGGAGCGGCUGAAGGAGCUGGGGUUGGUCAGUCUGGAGAAGAGGAGGCUCAGGGGAGGCCUUAUUGCUCUGUGUAACUGCCUGAAGGGAGGCUGUAGUGAGCUGCGUGUCGGCCUCUUCUGUCGGGUGACAGUGAUAGGAUGAGAGGGAAUGGCUUCAAGCUGCGUCAGGGAAGAUUCAGGCUGGACGUUAGGAAAUACUACUUCUCUGAAAGGGUGGUCAGGCACUGCAAUGGGCUGCCCAGAGAGGUGGUGGAGUCACCCAACCUGGUGGUGUUCAAAGAGCGUAUGGAUGUUGUGUUGAGGGACAUGGUUUGGCGGGAACCAUUGGUGAAGGACGGAUGGUUGGACUGGAUGGUCCUGUGGGUCUUUUCCAACCUUAGCGAUUCUAUGAUUCUAUGAUUUGCCUCUUGCAUGCCCUACAUCGACCCAAAUGAGAAGAGGAAACGGUUUUCUCCAGCUGCUUCGCUCAGAGGCUGCAGCACCUCUGCUAUGGAGAAAGAAUCAUACAAUCAUAGAAUUACUCAGGUUGGAAAGGACCUCAGAGAUCAUCAGGUCCAAGCGCAGCCUAACCAUAGUCCCCUAACUCUAACAACCCUCCGCUAAAUCAUAUCUCCGAGCACCACAUCCAAACGGC